rnacentral:lncRNA from 1 species
GUACUCACGUUUUAUAAAAAUUCAUGUUUUUAGAUCAGGUGACUGUUGGACCCUAGAUCGAGGAGUCCCCGUAGUGCAUCUCCUGGGUAUGUGUCUGGCAUUCGAUAGUAAUCCGUUUGAUUGUAAAUGUCUCCGUUGGAAGUCAUGGGUCUUUUUGUAUUAUGAAUACAAUCUAACAAUGUAAAUAUGUGUAUGAAAUGUAAAUUGCUAAAUACAUGACUGGUAUAGUGCAUGUAUAUUAUUAUCGAUAAUGCCAUUAUGUUUUGGCUAUGUUCACACCCAAAAAAAAAGUGUGUGUGUAUGCAUGAUAUGAUAAAUUUGUUAAGCAAAGGUAAACGGAUAGGCUUGCUUGGGCUUAGUGAGCUAUGCUCAUUGAGCUCAUUCGUCGAUCAUGGCUCGAGAAAUUGGGUCGUGACAAUGUUGGUAUCAGAGCCCUAGGUUGUUUAGGUCCUAGGGUGUUAUGGUCAGGUCCAGCGGAGAGUCGGGUUUUUAUGUGCGAUUUUUAAUUAUGAACUGUGAGCCGCGGCACAUUUCAUAAUCGAGGAACCGCAUAAAUUCCCAAUCUUAGAAACCACCUUAUCUCUUUAACUGUGGUUAAUGACAAGUGUUUGCUCUUGUCUAGGUAAGAAUGCCACCUAAGACACGGGUCACCUUAAGACAAGUGAGGGAGCAAGAUGCCCCUACUGAGAUGACUAAUAGGCCACGGGCACCCACUCGUAGGGGGUGAGGUAGACGUGGCAUGGUCGCUAGGCCGGUGAGAGCGAGUACGCCUAUGAAUAGGAAAGAUGAGGGACAGCCUUUAGGUGAGACUGUUAGGCCACCGGCGAAAGGCAUUACUGUUGAGGACUUGGUAGCGGGUCUGCAGAGAGUCAAUCGGGUUGUAAAAAUGAUGGCAGCCCGUAUGGAGUAUAUACAGAAAAUAGUAGAGGGGAGACAUGUGGAGCAAGAGUCUCCUAGUUCCCAAAGCCAGACAGAUCGCCAACCUCCCGAGGGUUAUCAAAGUCGUAGAGACUUUAGUAGUGGGAUUUCAUUUUCUAACUGUCAAGGCCCAUAUAGGGAAUUAAGGUUACCCCAACAUGGGAGUAACGUGAUGAGUACCAAUGUUGAGUCAGGGCAGGAAGCUUUUGUUGGAAGGAGGCAGCAAGAUUCUAGAUAGAGUAGUCAAGUCAUUCGCUCUUGUGAUACUUGUGGGAGACGACAUAGUGGACGGUGCUUCCUUACUACAAGAACUUGUUACGGGUGCGGUCAACCUGGGCAUAUUAGGAGGGAUUGUCCGAUGGGACAUCAAUCACCAGAUUCUGCUCAUGGUUCCACCCAGCCAACUUCAUCUGCUUCGUCAGUUGCUGUCUCAUCUGGCCGGGAGGUUAGUGGAUCGAUAGGUAGAGGUGCCGAUACUUCCUCUCAAGGCAGACCAUCUGGGUCCGGACAUCAAAGUUUUGUUGGUAGAGGCCAGGCAAGGGUGUUUGCUUUAACACAGCAGGAGGCUCAAACAUCCAAUGAGGUGGUCUCAGGUAUUCUUUCCGUUUGUAAUAUGAAUGCUCGGGUACUAUUUAAUCCUAGUGCUACCCAUUCUUUUAUCUCUCCAUGUUUUGCAUCUCGGUUGGGUAGAGAUCGUGUUAGGAGAGAGGAACAAUUAGUGGUGUCUACUCCUUUAAAGGAGAUAGUUGUGGUUGAGUGAGAAUAUGAGUCCUGUGUAGUGCGAGUCAAGGACAAAGACACUUCGGUGAAUCUAGUGGUGCUAGACACCUUAGACUUUGAUGUAAUCUUGGGGAUGGAUUGGUUAUCACCCUGCCAUGCUAAUGUGGACUGCUAUCAUAAAUUGGUUAGAUUUGAUUUCCCUAGUGAACCAUCAUUUAGUAUUCAGGGGGAUAGGAGUAAUGCUCCAACCAAUUUAAUAUCGGUCAUAUCUGUCAGAAGAUUAUUAAGACAGGGUUGUAUAGGUUACUUGGCUGUUGUAAAGGAUACUCAGGCGAAGAUUGGAGAUGUAACUCAAGUGUCGAUGGUGAAAGAGUUCGUGGAUGUAUUUCCUGAGGAGCUACCAGGUUUGCCUCCUGAACGGGAGAUUGAGUUUUGCAUAGAUUUGAUUCCCGACACUAGACCUAUAUCCAUACCCCCAUAUAGAAUGGCACCUGCAGAGCUUAAAGAGCUUAAGGAUCAGUUGGAGGAUUUGUUGGAUAAAGGUUUCAUACGACCUAGUGUAUCCCCAUGGGGAGCACCAGUGUUAUUUGUGAAGAAGAAAGAUGGGUCACUUAGGCUGUGCAUUGAUUAUCGACAGCUUAAUAAAGUGACGGUGAAGAAUAAAUAUCCUCUCCCAAGGAUAGAUGAUUUAUUUGAUCAACUACAAGGAGCACAAUGUUUUUCUAAGAUAGAUCUGCGAUCUGGGUACCAUCAGUUGAGAAUCCGGAACGAAGAUAUACCCAAGACCGCAUUUCGAACAAGAUAUGGGCACUAUGAGUUCUUAGUGAUGUCAUUUGGGCUCACGAAUGCUCCUGCAGCCUUUAUGGAUUUGAUGAACCGAGUGUUCAAACCUUAUUUGGAUAAGUUUGUGGUGGUGUUUAUUGAUGACAUUUUGAUAUAUUCAAAGAGUCGAGAGGAGCAUGAGCAGCAUCUUAAGAUAGUGCUCCAAAUUUUGAGAGAACAUCGAUUGUAUGCUAAGUUCUCCAAGUGUGAGUUUUGGCUCGAAAGUGUUGCAUUCUUGGGGCAUGUGGUAUCUAAGGAGGGGAUACAAGUUGAUACAAAGAAAAUUGAAGCAGUGGAAAAAUGGCCAAGGCCAACAUCAGUUACGGAGAUUAGAAGCUUUGUGGGUUUAGCUGGCUAUUAUCGUCGCUUUGUGAAGGACUUCUCCAAAAUAGUUGCCCCUUUGACUAAGCUGACACGUAAAGAUACAAAAUUUGAGUGGUCUGAUGCUUGUGAGAAUAGUUUUGAGAAGCUUAAGGCAUGUCUCACCACAGCUCCAGUGUUAAGCCUGCCGCAAGGCACAGGGGGUUACACGGUGUUUUGUGAUGCAUCGGGGGUUGGUUUAGGAUGUGUAUUGAUGCAACAUGGGAAGGUGAUUGCGUAUGCAUCUAGGCAACUUAAAAGGCAUGAGCAGAAUUACCCCAUACACGAUUUGGAAAUGGCAGCAAUCGUGUUUGCCUUAAAGAUUUGGAGACAUUACUUGUAUGGUGAGACUUGCGAGAUAUACACGGACCACAAAAGUCUGAAGUAUAUAUUUCAGCAGAGGGAUCUUAACUUACGGCAACGUAGAUGGAUGGAGUUGCUAAAGGAUUAUGAUUGUACUAUUCUUUAUCAUCCCGGUAAGGCCAAUGUAGUGGCGGAUGCCUUGAGUCGAAAAUCAAUGGGAAGCUUGGCACAUAUUUCCAUUGGUAGGAGAUCUUUGGUUAGAGAGAUCCAUAGCUUGGGAGACAUAGGUGUGCGUUUGGAAGUUGCGGAGACAAAUGCUUUACUAGCACACUUUAGAGUGAGGCCUAUUUUAAUGGACAGGAUUAAAGAAGCACAAAGUAAAGAUGAGUUUGUGAUUAAGGCCUUAGAGGAUCCUCAGGGUAGGAAAGGAAAAAUGUUUACUAAAGGCACAGAUGGAGUGUUGAGGUAUGGAACCAGACUUUAUGUGCCUGAUGGUGACGGGUUGAGGAGAGAAAUAUUGGAGGAAGCUCACAUGGCAGCUUAUGUGGUACAUCCAGGGGCUACAAAGAUGUAUCAAGAUUUGAAAGAGGUGUAUUGGUGGGAAGGACUUAAGAGAGAUGUAGCUGAGUUUGUCUCCAAGUGCCUGGUUUGUCAGCAGGUUAAGGUCGAGCAUCAAAAGCCUGCAGGGCUACUACAGCCAUUACCAGUACCCGAGUGGAAGUGGGAACAUAUUGCUAUGGACUUUGUAACGGGUUUGCCUCGAACCAGUGGGGGAUAUGAUUCAAUUUGGAUAGUAGUGGACCGGUUAACAAAGUCAGCUCAUUUUCUUCCGGUUAAGACUACUUAUGGGGCUGCCCAAUAUGCUCGAGUUUAUGUGGAUGAGAUAGUGCGACUACAUGGUAUUCCCAUUUCUAUAGUAUCUGACAGAGGAGCUCAGUUUACUAGUAGGUUUUGGGGAAAGUUGCAAGAAGCAUUGGGCACUAAGUUGGAUUUCAGCACAGCUUUCCACCCUCAGACUGAUGGACAGUCUGAACGGACCAUACAGACAUUGGAGGAUAUGUUGAGGGCUUGUGUGAUAGACCUUGGUGUCAGGUGGGAACAAUAUCUACCCUUAGUGGAAUUUGCCUACAACAACAGUUUCCAAACUAGCAUCCAAAUGGCACCAUUUGAGGCCUUAUAUGGACGAAGAUGUAGGUCACCCAUUGGAUGGCUAGAGGUGGGAGAAAGGAAACUUUUGGGGCCUGAAUUGGUGCAGGAUGCAACCGAGAAAAUACACAUGAUCCGUCAGAGGAUGUUAACAGCACAAAGUAGACAGAAAUCAUAUGCUGAUAACCGACGGAGAGACUUGGAGUUCCAAGUAGGAGAUCAUGUAUUUUUGAAAGUUUCGCCAACUAAAGGGGUAAUGAGGUUUGGCAAGAAAGGGAAGUUAAGUCCUCGGUAUAUAGGGCCAUUCGAGAUCUUAGAAAAGGUUGGAGCGGUGGCUUAUCGUUUGGCAUUACCGCCAGACCUUUCUAAUAUUCAUCCCGUGUUUCAUGUGUCCAUGCUUAGGAAGUACAACCCAGAUCCAUCACAUGUAAUACGGUAUGAAACUAUUCAGUUGCAAGAUGAUCUAACCUAUGAGGAACAACCGGUAGCUAUCCUUGAUAGGCAAGUUAAAAAGCUCCGUUCAAAGGAUGUAGCCUCAGUGAAAGUGUUGUGGCGGAAUCACACUAGCGAGGAGGUAACGUGGGAAGCUGAGGAUGAGAUGCGGACAAAGCAUCCACACCUCUUCGAUAUGUAAAGGUAAGCCACUCUACAUUGAAUUUAAAUUCGGGGACCGAAUUUUUAUUAGUGGGGGAAAAUGUGAGACCCUGUCAAGCUCGAUUAAAAGACGGUAUUGUAUCGAGUGGUACAACUAAGUUAAAUCGAGCCUUGAACUAGUUCAAAUAGAAAUUCUAAGAGGAAUUUGAAAAUUUUAAAACCAACAGAAUGGCUUAGAAUAGUGAUUUGGAGUUCAAGGUCCAGUUUGGAGUCCAUCAGAAAAUUGACCAAUUAGGGACAAAACGGUCAUUUUACCAUUUGAUGAUAAAAUGGAGAUUUUUAGCCAAGAUUUGAUCACAUUUGACCAAGAAUAAUUAUAUGAAAUAUAAUUAUGAUUAUUGGAGUAUAAAAUGAUGUUUAGUAGUGAAAAAUUGUGAUUCCCGGUAUUUAUGGAGCAGAAGGGCAAAAUGGUAAUUUUGCCACUAGUGGACUAAACGAAAAUUUUUUUAAACAAUUUUUGCCCCAUUUGGUUAAUAUUGAUCAAUAUUAGUGUUAUUUUAGGUUGAAAAGUAGAAAUAAUGAGAUUCCGGUACAUUUCGGAGUAUAAGGGCAAAAUCGUAAUUUUUUUGUCUCGGGGGCAAAUCAGUAAAAUUUUCGGCCCAGCACUUGUCAAGACCAAGGGAUUUUAAUUGUGGUAGGAUUGGAUAAAUACCAGAAUAUUUGUGGUGGAAAAUUAAGAAGAAAAAGUCAAAAAGUUAAAAAUUGGGCCAAUAAGCAUGUGACACAUGGCAUGCUUGAUUAUUUUAUUAUUUUCUAUAGAAAUCAGCCCAUUAAAUCCCCAAUUCCCUCACCAUAUUCGGCCUAGACAUCCAGCAACAAGAAAAAAGGAAGAACAAAAGGAAAAACAAGAAAACCUAGGUGGAAAUUCAAAGAAAAAGUGAAGAAAUCAAGGAAACAAGCUAGGUAAGUUAAAAUUUCUUUAAUUCUCCUUGAUACCUAGCUUACCCAUGCUUUUGUUCUUGAUUUCCAUGGUUGAAUAUUGAGUUAUCAUGAUGAAUUCAAUUCUGAAAAAUGGGUAUGGAAGAGGAAUUGUUGUUGGAAUAAUUUGAUUUUAGACUAUGUUAGUGUUUAGGGAUAGUUAAGCAUGGUUAUGAACAAAAACACAAAAGAAAUAUUCAAUUUCUCUAGGGUUCCUUGUUGGCCGAACCAUGAGGGCUGAAUAUCAAUGGGGGAUUGUUUUUAUUUCAAGGAAAAUGGCAUGGAAAAUGAUGAAGUAAGGUGAAACGGUUAUGUAGAAAAAAAUUCGAUGCUAGUACACCAAAUGACCAAAUUUUUUCUAUAAGGAAUUGUGAGGGUUCUAAUGCUGAAUUUGGCUUUAUUUAAAUGUAUGUGGUAAAUUAAGGUAUUAGAGGAGAAAUGAAUUAAUUUGGAGGUGAUUUGGACACAAUCGCCGAUUAAUCGGGUGAUCGGUCGAAUUUAAUCGAUACCGUGAUUAAGCGGUAAUCGGACAUAUUUUUGCAUUUACAUAUCAAGCAUUAGUAGUUUAAAUUAAUUUAUAUCAAUUUAGGGACAAUAUAGUAAAUUCCUCGACUUUGUUAUUUGUCAAGGUGGUGAGACGUCCGGAAAAGGCAAAGGAAUUACGCCUGAGGACUAUUAGUCAGAGUUCACCCGGAAUUCGGAUUUUCGACACCUGUGAGUGGACUGCCUAUCAAAAUUGUUUUGGGAAUAUGACUGUUUUGAACAAAGUGUUUGAAUGAUUUUAUGCAAUUUUUCAUGAAAAUGAAUGCCUUGGGAACAAGCUUUUGAGAAAAGGUUUAUGUUAUGAAAUGUGGUUAUUAUGGAUUUCUAUGUGGCUGCAUUAUGUUGAUAUACAUAUAUGCUUGAAUAUAAUGUUGUGUAAUUAUGUUGACUCGGCUAUGUGCGAGUAGGGAGUGCGCAUAAGCCGAGGAUGACCCGGUUAUGUGCGAGUAGGGAGUGCGCAUAACCCGGUGAUGACCCGGUUAUGUGCGAGUAGGGAGUGUGCAUAACCCGGUGAUGACCCAGCCAUGUGCGAGUAGGGAGUGCGCAUGAGCUGGUGAUGAUGAUGAUGAGCUGGUGAUGAUGAUGAUGGGUUGGUGAGAUGAUGAUGAUGGGUAUAUAUAUAUAUAUAUAUAUAUACAUAUGUAAAUAUGUGUGAUAUAGCAAAUUGAUGGACAAUGAUUUAUGGUUGUAAUGUACAUGAAAGUUGACACAUUGUACUUUGAGAAUUUUCAUGAAUUUUAGGUUGAUUUUAUUAGUUUAGCAGGAUGGCUUUUUGUUGAGUGAGGAAAAAUGUUUCUCUUGUUGCUCUGUUUUCACUGCAGCGAAAUUCAUGCUCGCUGUAGCGAAAAACUCUCGGGUUUGGAAGGGUUUUAAAUAGGAAUUAACUAAAUUGCAUUGUUUUGAAAUAAGUGCUUCAUGAUUUUAAAUUCUCCCUAAUUGUUGCUUGUUCCCUUCCUUGUUCACUCACUGAGUAUUGUAUUCACGUUUUAUAAAAAUUCAUGUUUUCAGAUCAGGUGACUGUUGGAACCUAGAUUGAGGAGUCCCCGUAGUGCAUCUCCUGGGUAUGUGUCUGGCAUUCGAUAGUAAUCCCUUUUAUUGUAAAUGUCUUCGCUGGAAGUCAUGGGUCCUUUUGUAUUAUGAAUACAAUCUAACAAUGUGAAUAUGUGUAUGCAAUGUAAAUUGCUAUAUAC